rnacentral:misc_RNA from 1 species
CCAGCCACAGAGCAUGUAGAAAAGGGUUGUCACUGAAACACUUAUUAAAGAUGCUUUCUUCAUUGUCUUGGCUUCUGAUGGUGGGGAUUUGACAGUGUCCUGAAUUUCGAUGAGAAUAAUGGAGAAAGAAUAGGCAAAGGCAAUGUCGCCAAGUGCUUGGAAGCUCCUCCAUAUCUUCUGGGUUUCAGUCACGGUGCCGAUGCUUAUUCCAGUUAGACUUCCCUGAAUAGUUCCAGUUUCUGCAACUUUAGCAAUUCCAAGUCCAAGACCAAUUGACGAGUAAGUGAAGGACAUGACUGCAGCAACUAUGGAAAGCCACCACAGCUUUUCAAAGUCAGGAAUUUGGGAGAAAAUAAUUUCCGCAAUUCCGAAUGCGAUCAUGUAAGGAUUGGCAUUCAUAUGGCAUGGAUCUUUGCCUCCAGUCUUGUGGAAACAAUUCGACCUUUUGACAGCCAUCAUGCUUAUAGAAGAUGCUAUUGUGUAACCUAUGGCGACUCCGAAAAGGUUCAGGUACUGAACAUAUCCGCAUAUCUUAAACAUACCACCACCAAGAUUGGAGCGAACAGCGUCCGUGUAAGUAUAGUUCCUCUUGCCAUUGACAGGAUCCCCAGUUCGGUAGCAGACAGCGAGCAGAGAAGAAGUAUAGUAAGUGACCAAAGAGAACAAGAACAUAACAGCAGGACCGGCAAUCCAUCCAAGCUGAGCUACCGCCCAAGCCAAGGACAGAACACCAGACCCAAUCACAGCUGUUAUAAUGUGAGCGCUCGCAGUCCAAACAGUUCCAGUGCGCCUGACGCGUCCAUCAUCAUCAAACCACUUGGAGCCACC